rnacentral:rRNA from 1 species
UAGGGAAUCUUCCGCAAUGGACGAAAGUCUGACGGAGCAACGCCGCGUGAGUGAAGAAGGAUUUCGGUUCGUAAAACUCUGUUGUUAGGGAAGAAAAAAUGUAUAGUAACUAUAUACAAAAGAGACGGUACCUAACCAGAAAGCCACGGCUAACUACGUGCCAGCAGCCGCGGUAAUACGUAGGUGGCAAGCGUUGUCCGGAAUUAUUGGGCGUAAAGCGCGCGCAGGUGGUUUAGAAAGUCUGAUGUGAAAGCCAACGGCUCAACCGUGGAGGGUCAUUGGAAACUAAUAAACUUGAGUGCAGGAGAGAAAAGUGGAAUUCCUAGUGUAGCGGUGAAAUGCGUAGAGAUUAGGAGGAAAACCGGUGGCGAAAGCGGCUUUUUGGCCUGCAACUGACACUGAGGCGCGAAAGCGUGGGGAGCAAACAGG